rnacentral:rRNA from 1 species
UACGGAGGAUCCGAGCGUUAUCCGGAUUUAUUGGGUUUAAAGGGUGCGCAGGCUGAUCGAUAAGUCAGGGGUGAAAAAUUUCAGCUUAACUGGAAUCGUGCCUUUGAUACUGUCGGACUAGAGUGUAACUGACGUGACUGGAAUGUGCCGUGUAGCGGUGAAAUGCUUAGAUAUGUCACAGAACGCCAAUCGUGAAGACAGGUCACGAAGUUACUACUGACGCUCAUGCACGAAAGCGUGGGGAUCAAACAGGAUUAGAUACCCUGGUAGUCCACGCUGUAAACGAUGAUUACUCGUUGUUGGGCAUUUAUGCUCAGUGGCCAAGCGAAAGUGAUAAGUAAUCCACCUGGGGAGUACGAUCGCAAGGUUGAAACUCAAAGGAAUUGACGGGGGCCCGCACAAGCGGAGGAGCAUGUGGUUUAAUUCGAUGAUACGCGAGGAACCUUACCCGGGCUUGAACGUGAGACGAAUAUAUAAGAGAUUAUAUAGCCUUCGGGCGUCUUGCGAGGUGCUGCAUGGUU